rnacentral:rRNA from 1 species
UACGUAGGGGGCAAGCGUUGUCCGGAAUCAUUGGGCGUAAAGCGCGUGUAGGUGGUGAGUUAAGUCUGUCGUGAAAGCCCCGGGCUCAACCUGGGAAUGGCGAUGGAUACUGGCUCGCUAGAGUGCGGUAGAGGAGAGUGGAAUUCCCGGUGUAGCAGUGAAAUGCGUAGAGAUCGGGAGGAACAUCAGUUGCGAAGGCGGCUCUCUGGGCCAGCACUGACACUGAGGCACGAAAGCGUGGGGAGCAAACAGG